ACGAGGAGAACGUGUGCAUUUGAGGGUCACAUCACUGAGGAUAACAGGCACAUACGUUGCAUCAUUUUUCCAAAAGCAGAUAAUCUUUUGGCAGCUGAGAACUUUGAUCACAGCAAAGUGUCGACACAAGAAUCAAUCCCAAUCUCCUUAGUUCAAGAUCAGUAAGCGAGAGCUCAAAGUCGUAAGCUAAAAGCCACAUAACCAACAAGUUUCACCAUGCUUUUUGGAUGAAAUAAAGCAGCUGUCAAAUAAAUACACCCAGGACAACUGGGUCAUCAGCUGUUUUUAAAGUUUCGGAAACAGAUGGGGGAUCAAACUUUCCUUUUGAUGUAGCUUCAAGGUAAGGGAGCCAGUUCCCACAGAGAUUUUAUU